rnacentral:sRNA from 42 species
UGUAUCUGAAGUCUGACGAGGAUGAGAACCUCCGGGGGCAAGAGGUUCGACCCGAGCGAAGCGAGAGAACGUUGCGUCAGCAACGGCCCGCAGGGCGAGCCACGCAGUGGCGAGUCAUCCUCUAUCACCGACAG